rnacentral:snRNA from 1 species
CCAGUGCUCUGAAUGUCA